AUACUUACCUGGCACAGGGGUAAACCAUGAUCAUCAAGGUGGUUCUCCCAGAGUGAGGCCCUUCCAUUGCACUCCGGUUGGGUUGACCUUUGCGAUCGCCCCAAAUGUGUGUUAUAUUAAUUAUCUUUUUUAUAAUUUUGAUAUAUAUUAAAUAAUAUAAAUUAAU